rnacentral:tRNA from 1 species
CUAUAGGUAGUAUAAUUGGGAGUACGAAAAAUUUUGGAUUUUUUUGUGUGGGUUCGUAACCCGUUCUGUAGG